rnacentral:lncRNA from 1 species
AGAGGAGGAAUGAGCUACAUAUGAUUCUCUAAUAAACGGACAUCAGUCUUAAGAGUAUGAAUGUUAAAAGCACUUAUUUCAACUUGUCCGUGCGGAUGGGUUGCUAAGGAUGGUAACAAGCUGCUUUUGUAACUGAAACAAUGGAACUUGCCAGUGAGCUGGCUGUGAUGUCUAACACUUGAGCUAUAGCAAAAUGGCCCGACAGAGCCUGAAUGAUCCUGUCUUCAGCCUAAACAAAAUGGAUAGACCACAGAAACCCUGCCUCUGAUAAGAGGCCAGUGUGGUGCGCAGACUAGGACAACAUCUGAGGAAACUGGCACACAGAGACUUGUUGAAUGACUUGUGAAACUUGUUCAGAUGGGUGUAGUGGCUCAUGCCUGUAAUCCCAGCACUUUGGGAGGCCGAGGCGGGUGGAUCACCUGAGGUCAGAAGUUCAAGACCACCCUGGCCAACAUGGUGAAACCCCAUCUUUACUAAAAAACACACAAAAAUUAGCUGGGUGUGAUGGUGGGUGCCUGUAAUCCCAGCUACUCAGGAGGCUGAGGCAGGAGAACUGCUUGAACCCGAGAGGCAGAGGUUGCAGUGAGCUGAGAUCACGCCAUUGCACUCCAGCCUGGGUGACAAGAGCAAAACUCCGUCUAAAAAAAAAUGAAAGGGAAUAGAACGAGCUGCAAUGUAAUACACUGCGAUACAACAUGAUGUGAUGGAAUUAUACAACAGGACAGACACUGUCAAGCAGAUAAUAGAACAUAGGUGACAACUCCUAACAUUCAUGGCAUGAAACAACCUUGACCUGGAUGGUGUUCUGCAUACUCAAAACUGGUAAAGAACAAGCCUGUGUCAACAAGAGACUGAAUAAGAAACCCUCAAGGAGGAGACGUGGGAGUUGCCUUCAUUCAUUGGAUAGAGUGCCGCAGGACAGGAUGCUCUGAGAGGCCAGCACCACACCCUCUUGACCAUGCUGUAGCCAUAAAUGUUCCAGAGGCAUCUGAGAAAACCACUGCAGAAUACACAGAGCACAGCUGCAUUUUGUCUGCUCCACCUACAACAGGGUUUGCUCUACCCUGCCAUAUCAGAGGCUCCUGAAAAGACCAACUCACAGCACCACAGGAUGUGAUUAAGCCUUGGAGAAGAUUAAUUACCCACUUUCUUAGGAGUCGGUCUCUCCUCCCCACUCACUCAAGUUCCUUUACCCCCCACUAAGCCUCUGAAAGAAUCUAACAUCAUAAACAAGGAUCUCAUUAGCAACUUGAAUUCGGGCUGCAGAUCUUUUGUGAAGAUUUGGUUACAGAUGCUGCUUUAACUUCUGAGGAUUAUUCUUCAGCAUCCAGAGAGACUCCAGUUGCUCCCCUGGGAAAUGUUCCCUCACUUGAAUAACUCAUCUGUUCACCCAUUGGCAUAACUGCUGCCAGUUCUAAGCACCUGCUGAGGAGUGGACCCAGAUUAGGCCUCUGGCAGGGCUACAAAGAAGGCAUUUCAGUGUUGGACUUCCCAUUCCAUUUGCAUCUUCAGGGGAAGUUAAUGUCCCACUCAAGUUUCUCUCAGUUAGGGUGACAGGGAGAUGCAGUUCUUCAAAUGCUGUCCUCAAGUAGAGAGGGAGACCACAGAGCUCCGACUGGCUUGCCAGCCCAUGGAGCCAUUUUUUCUUUGGUGGUGGAUGCUCUCGGUGUGGCCUCUAGAGCUCCUUUCAUGAUCCUUUUCUCUCUGCAUUCCCACUGCUCUCCCCUCGGGUGGGUCCACAUCACCUCUCGCCUGGACCUCAGUCUGUCUCUUCUCUGCUAACCAGGGUGUCUUCACUUCUCUGCAGCUUUCACACGGCAGCCAGAUUAAUGUUCCUCAGUGCAGCUUUGAUCACACCACUGUGCCCAAACAAAAUCUUUCAUGGCCCCCAGCUACCCAGUGAUCAAAGUCCAGGGUCCUCACUCCAGCAUUAAAGAGCCUCUGUAUUGUGGAUCCCAAAUCAUCACAUGCCCCACCUCCAUCACCCAUCUGUUCCACUCCCACCUACCUCAACCUCAGUUCUAGUCCUUCAAGCUGCAGGCAGCAGCUCAUUGAGAAGGUCAUGAAAUCAAUGAAGUAUGUGACGAAAGCAUUUUAAAAUGAAAUUUAUAGCAAAAGAACAAAUAUGUAUAUGGCUUUCUAUAUAGCAGGCUCCAUUCCAAAUACUUUGCAUAGACUCACAUACUUCUCACACUGUCCCUAGGGAAAUAAGCACUCUUGCUAUCCCUGUUUUACAGAUAAGGACACAGACCCAGGGAGGUUAAAUAAGUUGUCCAAAGUGAUUAAUUCUGGCUUGAACCCAGAGAGCCUUGUAUCAGAAGCCACACUCUGCUAUACUCCCCAUGAUGUACUAUAUGGAAUAAAACUAUAUUCUAGAUUUUGUAAAACCAUAUGGAACAGAAUAGAAAAUUUAGGGCAUUCUGUAUAUACAAUGGUAAAUGUUCCAUGAAGGUCUGUUGGAGAUAAAUAUAAAUGUAUACACACAAGACUACAGUAGAAAAUGUGUAUUGUGCUGAGUACACAAGGUCAAGUGUUUGUCUUACUGUGGCUUGUGGGCAAAAACAUGUGAAACCUGUUGUUCUGGCUAAAACCAAGGAACUGCCAAUGAUCUCUCAUGCUUCUUUGCCUCUACAUCUUCACCCACACUGAUCCCAGCACUGGAAACAUCUUUCCCCGUCGUUUCUCACCUGUAUCUCUGGUCCAAACAUGUCUUGUCCAUGGAGUCUUUCUUAAUUCUUCUCUUUAUUCUGUCUUCUAAAUUAUAAGCUUCUUGAGGGCUUAGGUACAUACAUUUCACAAUCAGUUCUUGCUUCCUGACAAAGAAGGAAGCAUCUUCCAGGAGGCUUUUACUCCCAACCUACUUUCAACCCCCAUUGGUGUGAUGAGAUUUCUGAUAUUCGUCUUCUUUCUGUGAUAGUUUGGGACAAUGGUUCUCAAAGUGUGGUCCCCAGACCAGCAACAUCAGCAUCGCCUGGGACUUGUUAGAGAUGCGUAUUCUCAGGCCCCAUCCCAGACCUACUGAAUCGGAUUAUCUGAGGGUGAACAACAGCAGCGUGUGCUACAACCAGCCUUCCAAGUGAUUCUGAUGCUUGUGCAAGUUCGAGAACCACUGGCUUAAGAAAAAGCCAUUCUUAUUCAAUAUGAGAGAAGGGUUUGUUUCAUGACUCUGGGCCAGUUGGCUGCAUUGUAUUGCUUAUGAGGACAAGGUCAGGGGAUCAACUUUGUGUAUCCAAGUCAGCAACAUGUCACACCACACAUUGAAUCCCCCAACCCUAGCUUUUGUGCAAUUGCAAGCUAUUUAGUCCCAAAAGAACUAUGGAUGUCUCAGUGCCAAAGCUAACUCACCUAAAUUACUACUGUCAUCGCAUUAAUGGAGCCAGACUCACAGCCACGAGCCAUCAAGCACCCUGCAGGGGACAGUAAAAGCAGAACCAGGAAUGGACAAAGACAUUGUUAGAAGUCAAGAGAACAUGGACUUUCUAAAUACCAAAGCAUUUUAGAAGGUAUGGCUAAAACAGAUUGCAAAUGAUGAAAGGCAGUAAAAAUCCAAGUGGGUUUAGGAUGGGAAAUUUCAAAUUUCAUAGGAAAUCCAAGGUCACAGAAAUAAUAAACCAGAAUGACCUAGGAGCUAGCACUUGAUAGAUUCAGGAGCAUUUCCAUGGACAGACAUUUUAUAUUUGAAGAAACUCGAAUCUAUAUUCCAAGAAGUUAAGAAACAAGAUCAUGCAAUGAGGAAAUAGCAGAAUAGAAUGCAAACCAACUUUUUUUACCCAGGAGUCUCAACUAAAGGUCUGCCUGCCCUGCCGAGGGCACUCCCCUCUCUGCGGUUUCUCUUCUACACUCCUGCCACACUGGCCCCAGUGCUGCCAUGUCCACUCCCAGGGCUCUGCACUUACUCUUCCUUCUCUUUUAAGUAUUUUUUCGCUAGCUGUUCCCAGAGCUGCACCCUCCUCAUCCUUUAGGCCUCAACCCAAAUGUUACUUACUCAGAGAGUUCUUCCCUGACCACCCAGCCCACACUUCUGUGACUGUACAAGUUUCCUGGGGCUGCUGAAACAAAUGACUGCAAAGUUGGUGACUUAAACCACCACAACAUAAGUUGGCUGGUUGUGGUGGCUCACGCCUGUAAUCCCAGCACUUUGGGAGGCCCAGGCGGGCGGAUCAUGAGGUCAGGAGAUUGAGACCAUCCUGGCCAACGUGAUGAAACCUCAUCUCAACUAAAAUACAAAAAAAUUAGCCGGGUAUGGUGGUGUGUGCCUAUAGUCCCAGCUGCUCAGGAGGCUGAGGCAGGAGAAUUGCUUGAACCCAGGAGGCAGAGAUUGAAGUGAGCCAAGAUCACACCACUGCAUUCCAGCCUGGACAACAGAACGAGACUCCAUCACAAAAACAAAACAAAACAAAACAAAACAAAAACAUAAGUUUUUUCACUUAC